rnacentral:misc_RNA from 1 species
CAGAGAUCAUGCCCUCACGGGUAGACCUCCCACCCUGUAUAAUUUACUUUGUUGCUUUGGCAGGCCGCCUUCGGGCCCCCGGCUCACGCUGGGGCGCGCCUGCCAGAGGACCCAACUCUAUGUUUAAUGUCGUCUGAGUACUAUAUAAUAAGUUA